UCCUCUCUCUCUAAAGAUUUUACUUUGGUAAACAUCUAGUAUAUUUUAUCCUCUCUCUUUCUCUACCUCUCGAUUUGUAGUGCAACAUCAUUUUGAUAUGUCGUCAAAUCGUCGAAGAAACACAAAUUCUUCUAGACAAACAAGUUCAAAUCAGCCAAUCGAAAAUUCAACUCCUCCAACGGAAACAACAGUACGGUUCAUGAUUUGGUUGGCCUAUCAAUUCAAUCUGUUUUCACCGAUGGUUUUGACAUCUCCAUCCCACCAAUGGUUUUCGCCUUGUGUUAUGUCGAUUCAUUCGAAUCGUAAAGUAUUUGUUUCCGGUGGUCUCAUUCAUUGGUGUCAUCUCCGGUUUGUAACUGAUGAAUCUACUCCUAACUUACGGUUUGGAGAAGUCAUUUGGGUAUUCAAUCCGGGGAUCAAGAGGGAAUUUUUUACGAUUGAAGAAAUUGGCUUAUGUGAUAACUUCCUCGGUCUAGGAAGACGACUCGAUGAUGGUGAUGUUCAUGCUGUCCUUCGAUGUUUUAUGGAAAAAGAAUUCAUGGCCACUAAGCGACAACGAUGGAUAUGGCAUUUCAAAAGACAUGAUCCAAAACCAUUUCAAACAAGAUAUCAGUGUAUUCUUUUAAUCAAAAUAAUGCAGAAAGCAUUUGGUAGUUUCAUCUAUAAGAUUAUAGAUGUUAGCCUUUUACAAGUAUAUGAAGAGGGGAUUUAACAGAUUAUGUUUGUUGCCAAUAAGGCUUCUGUUUGGAAAGCAUGGUCACUUUCACUUCUUCGUCGAAAUUGUGUUCAAUUUUCUUUGUUUGGUUUAAUGGUUGUAUUUGAUGUUUUUGUGUAUCAUGUAUCUUGUAAUACAUUUAUAAUCCAAUAUAAUUGAU